rnacentral:rRNA from 1 species
GNCACGGACCAAGGAGUCCAACAUGUGCGCGAGUCUAAGGGUGUAGUAAACCUGGAGGCGAAAUGAAAGUGAGCCCUUUUAGGGGCAGGCCGAUCCCCUGUGGUAGAGUUGGCCAUUGUGAGGCUUUGGCAAGUGAAUUUGCUAUGGUUUUUGAGUGGUUAAAUUUGCCAUGGUCCCGUGUAUGCGGGGAGAUGGGGCGCAGGCCGAGGACUUGCCUUAGUGCGGCGCGGGCAACGGGUUGUGACUUUUGUUGCUUCCUUAUCCCGAUGUCCGCCGGCAAGUACCUGAGAGCGCAGCCGUUGGGACCCGAAAGAUGGUGAACUAUGCCUGGCGAGGAUGAAGCCAGAGGAAACUCUGGUGGAGGUCCGAAGCAGUUCUGACGUGCAAAUCGAUUGUCAGAGCUGGGUAUAGGGGCGAAAGACUAAUCGAACCAUCUAGUACUGGUUUUCCUUCC